GUGGGGAAUUUUGGACAAUGGGCGCAAGCCUGAUCCAGCCAUGCCGCGUGUUUGAAGAAGGUCUUCGGAUUGUAAAGCACUUUAAGUUGGGAGGAAGGGCAGUAAGUUAAUACCUUGCUGUUUUGACGUUACCGACAGAAUAAGCACCGGCUAACUUCGUGCCAGCAGCCGCGGUAAUACGAAGGGUGCAAGCGUUAAUCGGAAUUACUGGGCGUAAAGAGCGCGUAGGUGGUUUUGUAAGUUGGAGGUGAAAUCCCCGGGCUCAACCUGGGAACUGCCUCCAAAACUGCAUGACUAGAGUACGGUAGAGGGUCGUGGAAUUUCCUGUGUAGCGGUGAAAUGCGUAGAUAUAGGAAGAAACACCAGUGGCGAAGGCGACUACCUGGACUGAUACUGACACUGAGGUGCGAAAGCGUGGGGAGCAAACAGGAUUAGAAACCCCGGUAGUCC
rnacentral:rRNA from 1 species